rnacentral:rRNA from 1 species
AUUGAACGCUGGCGGCAUGCCUUACACAUGCAAGUCGAACGGUAACGGGCCUUCGGGUGCCGACGAGUGGCGAACGGGUGAGUAAUGCAUCGGAACGUACCUUUCAGUGGGGGAUAACGUAGCGAAAGUUACGCUAAUACCGCAUAUUCUGUGAGCAGGAAAGCAGGGAUCGCAAGACCUUGCGCUGAUUGAGCGGCCGAUGUCAGAUUAGCUAGUUGGUGAGGUAAAGGCUCACCAAGGCGACGAUCUGUAGCGGGUCUGAGAGGAUGAUCGCCACACUGGAACUGAGACACGGUCCAGACUCCUACGGAGGCAGCAGUGGGGAAUUUUGGACAAAUGGGGGCGAACCCCUGAUCCAGCCAUGCCGCGUGAGUGAAGAAAGGCCUC